CACUGUGGAAUUCGCCCUUAGUUGAUCCUGGCUCAGGAUGAACGCUGGCGGUAUGCCUAACACAUGCAAGUCGAACGGAAUCUUCGGAUUCAGUGGCGGACGGGUGAGUAACGCGUGAGAAUCUGCCUUCAGGAUGGGGACAACAGUGAGAAAUCGCUGCUAAAACCCAAUGUGCCGAGAGGUGAAAUACUUGUAGCCUGAAGAGGAGCUCGCGUCCGAUUAGUUAGUUGGUGGGGUAAGAGCCUACCAAGGCAGCGAUCGGUAGCUGGUCUGAGAGGAUGAGCAGCCACACUGGGACUGAGACACGGCCCAGACUCCUACGGGAGGCAGCAGUGGGGAAUUUUCCGCAAUGGGCGAAAGCCUGACGGAGCAAUACCGCGUGAGGGAGGAAGGUUUUUGGAUUGUAAACCUCUUUUGUUAAGGAAGAAGAAAGUGACGGUACUUAACGAAUAAGCAUCGGCUAACUCCGUGCCAGCAGCCGCGGUAAUACGGAGGAUGCAAGCGUUAUCCGGAAUCAUUGGGCGUAAAGCGUCCGCAGGUGGUUAAUCAAGUCUGCUGCUAAAGACAGAAGCUCAACUUCUGAUAGGCAGUGGAAACUGGGUAACUAGAGUAUGGUAGGGGUUGAGGGAAUUCCCAGUGUAGCGGUGAAAUGCGUAGAUAUUGGGAAGAACACCAGUGGCGAAGGCGCUCAACUGGGCCAUAACUGACACUCAGGGACGAAAGCUAGGGUAGCGAAAGGGAUUAGAUACCCCUGUAGUCUUAGCUGUAAACGAUGAACACUAGGCGUUGCUUGUAUCGACCCGAGCAGUGCCGUAGCCAACGCGUUAAGUGUUCCGCCUGGGGAGUACGCACGCAAGUGUGAAACUCAAAGGAAUUGACGGGGGCCCGCACAAGCGGUGGAGUAUGUGGUUUAAUUCGAUGCAACGCGAAGAACCUUACCAGGACUUGACAUCUCGAGAAGUUCGCCUCAUAGCGAAUGUGCCUUAGGGAACUCGAAGACAGGUGGUGCAUGGCUGUCGUCAGCUCGUGUCGUGAGAUGUUGGGUUAAGGCCCGCAACGAGCGCAACCCUCGUUCUUAGUUGCCAGCAUUAAGUUGGGCACUUUAGGAAGACUGCCGGUGACAAACCGGAGGAAGGUGGGGAUGACGUCAGGUCAGCAUGCCCCUUACGUUCUGGGCUACACACGUACUACAAUGGUUGGGACAAAGGGCAGCGAGCGAGUAAUCGUAAGCGAAUCUCAUCAAACCCAGCCUCAGUUCAGAUUGCAGGCUGCAACUCGCCUGCAUGAAGGAGGAAUCGCUAGUAAUCGCAGGUCAGCAUACUGCGGUGAAUUCGUUCCCGGGCCUUGUACACACCGCCCGUCACACCAUGGAAGUUGGCCACGCCCGAAGUCGUUACCCUAACCGUUCGCGGAGGGGGAUGCCGAAGGCAGGGCUGGUGACUAGGGUGAAGUCGUAACAAGGUAGCCGUACCGGAAGGUGUGGCUGGAUCACCUCCUUAAAGGGAGACCAAGCCGUGAAGUGAAGACAAAAAUAAUUAAAGUCUCACCCUCACAGGUCAAACCAAGGUCGGUUCAAAAGACAUAAAAUUUGUGCAGAAAAAACAGUCAAACUAAUUGUUUUGGUUCAAAUCUAACCAAGAGAAAAGGUUAGAAAAAACAAGGGCUAUUAGCUCAGGUGGUUAGAGCGCACCCCUGAUAAGGGUGAGGUCCCUGGUUCAAGUCCAGGAUGGCCCACCACAAGACAUGGAACAUGAAACAUUUAUCAUUGAACAAGAAAUAGUUGUUAAAUGGUCAAUGUUAAAUGGUCAAUGAAGAAGGGGGGUAUAGCUCAGCUGGUAGAGCGCCUGCUUUGCAAGCAGGAUGUCAGCGGUUCAAAUCCGCUUACCUCCACCAAAGCAAGAAAAGAGCUAAAAUUCAGCACUAUCAUGGCUACGAUCAAGGAAAGUAGGAUGAGGAUGCUGGAGUUUAAGACUUCAGAAAAGAACCUUGAAAACUGCAUAAUAUCUAGAAACAACAGACGGAUCUAAAAGCUCGAAAGAGAGAAAAGAGAGGUUUGUUGGUGAUAGAGCCAAAUUGAACAGAACUAAGUAAUAAUUUAGGUCAAAUAAAACAAUAUGCGUGAAUGAAUAGUUCGCGCGUAUAGUCCAAGAGUAGAGAACAAGAGCUAGAAAUAGCCAAAUGGUCAAGCUACAAAGGGCUAACGGUGGAUACCUAGGCACACAGAGAAGGGCGAAUUCCACAUUGGG
rnacentral:rRNA from 1 species